UAGUAACGGCGAGUGAAGCGGGAAGAGCUCAAGCUUAAAAUCUCCGUGCAAGUUUUGCGCGGCGAAUUGUAGUCUAUAGAGGCGUGGUCAGCGUGGGCGCUUGGGGCAAGUUCCUUGGAAGAGGACAGCAUGGAGGGUGAUACUCCCGUUCAUCCCUGAGUGGCUCGUGCGUACGACCCGUUUUCUUUGAGUCGCGUUGUUUGGGAAUGCAGCGCAAAGUAGGUGGUAAAUUCCAUCUAAAGCUAAAUAUUGGUGCGAGACCGAUAGCGAACAAGUACCGUGAGGGAAAGAUGAAAAGAACUUUGAAAAGAGAGUUAAAGAGUACCUGAAACUGCUGAAAGGGAACCGAAUCGUUUCCAGUGUCUAUAAUCUGUGGCAUAUUUCAUUGGCGAGCGUUUGCGUGCGUGUGCUGUGGCAGUGGCUUUUUUGGCUGCGCCCGGUGUGUGUGCUGUGAGUGUUUGCUGGUGCCCUGUGCUGCGGUGGGACGUCAAGGUCAGUUCGUAUGCUGCGGGAAAUGGCUGCCGAGGAGGUAGGGCUUACGCUCCGCGUUUGUCUGUUAUAUCUUGGUGGACGAGUCGUCGCGGUUGGGACUGAGGUGCCUACAACGUGCUUUUGAGUGGGUUUGUGUCUCCGUGUGCGCCGUGUGCGGAUAGCUUGCUAUGCGUGUGUGGUUGUGUGUGGAUGGAUGCGGGCCUUAACUGUCGCCGUUC
rnacentral:rRNA from 1 species